ACACAGUUAUUUUCAACCAACUGCAAACAAGAGAGAUGAGUCAUCAUCUGGAGCACAUGGAUUAUGGGAGGAUUCCAAAUACCCUUCCCCAGUGCAUAUUCAAAACAUCCCAAGUUUAAAACUGGAAAUGCUGAUUGCUUCAGAGCCACUUAAAGUCAUUCCUUAGAAACAUCAUGCUCUUGCCAUUUUGUGAAAAUAUGUCCAAGAAAUGAAAU
rnacentral:lncRNA from 1 species